rnacentral:rRNA from 1 species
UACGUAGGGUGCAAGCGUUGUCCGGAAUUAUUGGGCGUAAAGAGCUCGUAGGCGGUUUGUCGCGUCGGCUGUGAAAACCCGAGGCUCAACCUCGGGCCUGCAGUCGAUACGGGCAAACUAGAGUGCGGUAGGGGAGACUGGAAUUCCUGGUGUAGCGGUGAAAUGCGCAGAUAUCAGGAGGAACACCGGCGGCGAAGGCGGGUCUCUGGGCCGUAACUGACGCUGAGGAGCGAAAGCCAGGGGAGCAAACGGG